rnacentral:rRNA from 1 species
CCCUUAGAUGUUCUGGGCAGCACGCGCGCUACAAUGGUCUUCGCAAACGGAUGCAUUCUCGAAGGAGAAUGCCAAUCUUGGAAUCUAUGCCUUGGUCGGGACAGUUGCUUGCAAUUUUUCGACUCGAACCAGGAAUUCCUUGUAAUCGUGAUUCAUCACAUCACGAUGAAUACGUCCCUGCCCUUUGUACACACCGCCCGUCGCUCCCACCGAUCGAAGAGUUAGGUGAAUUGUUUUGAUCGAUAAGAUUUGACUAUGGUCAACUCUCGUUGUGAAAUUCUGUGAAUCUGACUGUUUAGAGGAAGGAAAAGCCGUAACA